rnacentral:rRNA from 1 species
CUUUACUACAUGUUUAUAUCGUAUUAUUCUGAUAAUGUACAGUUUAAAUAUGAAGUUUAUGAUCUCUUGGCGCUAGUCAAUUAGUGAGACGCCGCUGUAAAAGUAUUUUUUAUUCAGUUUUAAUCCUUAUUUAAAUUUAUUUAAAAAAAAUAUAUGCGUGGUAGUUUGUUUGGGGUGAAUUCCUCCAAAAUAAUAACGGAGGAGCACAAAGGUAAGUUUAAUUUAUUUUUUAAAUAUUUUGUAGCUGUAAUAGGUUUUUAUAAACUUGCUUGACUGCGAGACAGACAUGUCUUACAGGGACGUAAGUCGGUUAUAGUGAUCCGGUUAUUCUAUGUGGAAAGAUAACCGCUUAACGGAUAAAAGGUA